rnacentral:rRNA from 1 species
AGAGUUUGAUCCUGGCUCAGAACGAACGCUGGCGGCGGGCUUCAUACAUGCAAGUCGAGCGGAAAGGCCCCUUCGGGGGUACUCGAGCGGCGAACGGGUGAGUAACAAGUGGAUAACCUGCCUUCCGAUGGGGGACAACGACUGGAAACGGUCGCUAAUACCGCAUACGGUCAUUGGGUCUUCGGCCCCGAUGAAGAAAGGAGCUUCGGCUCCGUCGGGAGAUGGGUCCGCUUCCCAUUAGCUAGUUGGUGUGAUAAUAGCGCACCAAGGCUUCGAUGGGUAGCCGAGCUGAGAGGUUGAUCGGCCACACUGGAACUGAGACACGGUCCAGACACCUACGGGUGGCAGCAGUAGGGAAUAUUGCGCAAUGGACGAAAGUCUGACGCAGCCACGCCGCGUGGGGGACGAAGGCCUUCGGGUCGUAAACCCCUUUUCUGAGGGAAGAACAAGCUGGGGAGGUAAUGCCCCAGCCCUGACGGUACCUCAGGAAUAAGCAACGGCUAACUCCGUGCCAGCAGCCGCGGUAAUACGGAGGUUGCGAGCGUUGUUCGGAAUUACUGGGCGUAAAGGGGGCGCAGGCGGCCAGGCAAGUGGAAAGUGGAAUCCCGGGGCUCAACCUCGGACGUGCUUUCCAAACUGCCUGGCUUGAGUCCGGGAGAGGAAGAUGGAAUUCCAGGUGUAGCGGUGAAAUGCGUAGAUAUCUGGAGGAACACCAAUGGCGAAAGCAAUCUUCUGGCCCGGUACUGACGCUCAGGCCCGAAAGCGUGGGGAGCGGACAGGAUUAGAUACCCUGGUAGUCCACGCCGUAAACGUUGUGUACUAGGUGUAGGAGGUGUCGACCCCUUCUGUGCCGAAGCUAACGCAUUAAGUACACCGCCUGGGGAGUACGCCCGCAAGGGUGAAACUCAAAGGAAUUGACGGGGGCCCGCACAAGCGGUGGAGCAUGUGGUUUAAUUCGAGGCAACGCGAAGAACCUUACCUGGGCUUGACAUCCCGUGUUACCCCUGGAAACAGGGGGUCCUCUUCGGAGGCACGGUGACAGGUGUUGCAUGGCUGUCGUCAGCUCGUGUCGUGAGAUGUUGGGUUAAGUCCCGCAACGAGCGCAACCCUUAUUCUUAGUUACCAGCGGUUCGGCCGGGAACUCUAGGAAGACUGCCCGUGAUAAGCGGGAGGAAGGUGGGGACGACGUCAAGUCAUCAUGGCCCUUACGUCCAGGGCUACACACGUGCUACAAUGGCCGGUACAGUGGGUUGCGAAACCGCGAGGUGAAGCUAAUCCCAAAAAGCCGGUCUCAGUUGGGAUUGGAGUCUGCAACUCGACUCCAUGAACCUGGAAUCGCUAGUAAUCGCGUAUCAGCUACGACGCGGUGAAUACGUUCCCGGGCCUUGUACACACCGCCCGUCAAGUCAACCGAGUUGGCUGCACCCCAAGUCGCUGAGCUAACCC